rnacentral:rRNA from 1 species
GACGAACGCUGGCGGCGUGCUUAACACAUGCAAGUCGAACGGAAAGGCCCUGCUUGCAGGGUACUCGAGUGGCGAACGGGUGAGUAACACGUGGGUGAUCUGCCCUGCACUUCGGGAUAAGCCUGGGAAACUGGGUCUAAUACCGGAUAGGAGCCAUUUUUAGUGUGAUGGUUGGAAAGUUUUUUCGGUGUAGGAUGAGCUCGCGGCCUAUCAGCUUGUUGGUGGGGUAAUGGCCUACCAAGGCGGCGACGGGUAGCCGGCCUGAGAGGGUGGACGGCCACAUUGGGACUGAGGGACGGCCCAGACUCCUACGGGAGGCAGCAGUGGGGAAUAUUGCACAAUGGGCGCAAGCCGGAUGCAGCGACGCCGCGUGUGGGAUGACUGCCUUCGGGUUGUAAACUCCUUUCGCUAGGGACGAAGCUUUUUGUGACGGUACCUAGAUAAGAAGCACCGGCUAACUACGUG